rnacentral:rRNA from 1 species
AUUGAACGCUGGUGGCAUGCCUUACACAUGCAAGUCGAACGGUAACGCGGGGCAACCUGGCGACGAGUGGCGAACGGGUGAGUAAUGCAUCGGAACGUGCCCAUGUCGUGGGGGAUAACGUAUCGAAAGGUACGCUAAUACCGCAUACGUCCUGAGGGAGAAAGCGGGGGAUCUUCGGACCUCGCGCGAUGGGAGCGGCCGAUGUCGGAUUAGCUAGUAGGUGAGGUAAAGGCUCACCUAGGCGACGAUCGGUAGCGGGUCUGAGAGGAUGAUCCGCCACACUGGGACUGAGACACGGCCCAGACUCCUACGGGAGGCAGCAGUGGGGAAUUUUGGACAAUGGGCGCAAGCCUGAUCCAGCCAUGCCGCGUGAGUGAAGAAGGCCUUCGGGUUGUAAAGCUCUUUCGGCCGGGAAGAAAUCGCAUUCUCUAACAUAGGAUGUGGAUGACGGUACCGGACUAAGAAGCACCGGCUAACUACGUGCCAGCCGCCGCCGUAAUAC